UGGGGAAUUUUGGACAAUGGGGGAAACCCUGAUCCAGCCAUCCCGCGUGUGCGAUGAAGGCCUUCGGGUUGUAAAGCACUUUUGGCAGGAAAGAAACGUCGCGGGUUAAUACCCCGCGAAACUGACGGUACCUGCAGAAUAAGCACCGGCUAACUACGUGCCGGCAGCCGCGGUAAUACGUAGGGUGCAAGCGUUAAUCGGAAUUACUGGGCGUAAAGCGUGCGCAGGCGGUUCGGAAAGAAAGAUGUGAAAUCCCAGAGCUUAACUUUGGAACUGCAUUUUUAACUACCGGGCUAGAGUGUGUCAGAGGGAGGUGGAAUUCCGCGUGUAGCAGUGAAAUGCGUAGAUAUGCGGAGGAACACCGAUGGCGAAGGCAGCCUCCUGGGAUAACACUGACGCUCAUGCACGAAAGCGUGGGGAGCAAACAGGAUUAGAUACCCUGGUAGU
rnacentral:rRNA from 1 species